AGAACGAACGCUGGCGGCAGGCUUAACACAUGCAAGUCGAACGCUCGUAGCAAUACGGGAGUGGCAGACGGGUGAGUAAUGCGUGGGAACAUACCCUCCGGUUCGGAAUAGCUCAGGGAAACUUGGAUUAAUACCGGAUACGGCCGAGAGGCGAAAGAUUUAUCGCCGGAGGAUUGGCCCGCGUUCGAUUAGCUAGUUGGUGAGGUAACGGCUCACCAAGGCGAUGAUCGAUAGCUGGUCUGAGAGGAUGAUCAGCCACAUUGGGACUGAGACACGGCCCAAACUCCUACGGGAGGCAGCAGUGGGGAAUAUUGGACAAUGGGCGCAAGCCUGAUCCAGCCAUGCCGCGUGAGUGAUGAAGGCCUUCGGGUUGUAAAGCUCUUUCGCUCGGGACGAUAAUGACGGUACCGAGAUAAGAGCCCGGCUAACUUCGUGCCAGCAGCCGC
rnacentral:rRNA from 1 species